CCCGCAUGAACUUUUUUUUAAGAGUGCUGGGCUGUGAUGGCCGUGCAUGUGAGUGAAAGGGGAGAAAACAAACUGCUGUCGGUGCAGAUAUUCAGGGGGGAGCUGGAGCUCUGCAGCCGGACGCGGCGGCGGCGGCGGCGGCGGAGGGUUCAUGCAAAUCCUGCAGCUGCAGCUGAUGAUCCACCUGAACUCUGCUGCUGCUGCGAAAUGGUCCUGACACAGAGGCGGUUUGUGUGUGGACAUCAGAAAUCUGACCAACGUAGACAGGACCGUGGACAGCGUCUGGAAGCAGGGGAGAAAGAGGGGGGACGACAUGCAGCAAAGGGCCGCAGGGCGGACUGCAAUAAGGGUUCAGCCUUCUACACGGUGCUUCACCAGGUUUUCAGGGGGCUGCAGGCGCCGAGCUGCGAGUCGUCUGAGGUUAAUGAACAGAAGCUUUUAUGUUAAUAGAGGGACGGCCUGCGUGAUUUAACAAGACAAUCUGCAGAUUUACUUCGCUCAAAUACAUCCGAGGCUCCGGCUCCACGUUAUUAGUUGGCUAAACAACGUCUCAGCGAUGAAGGUCAAGACAAAGAGAAGGCUUUCACAGCAGAGCUGAGUGAGGCUGGGCAGAAUCAGGUGGAAACGCAGUUUAAUUCCUCCUGAAUCGCCCUGCUCUACACCAGCGUCAGACGUUUUACUGAGAAGUGAAUACAUAACUCAAGCCGCCACGGCAGCGAUCAGAAACCUGGAUCAGAACGUUUGAACUCUACCGGGAGGAAGAAAACGAAGUUCACUGCCACUGUAACUCAACGCAACAUAACGUCCGCCGCCUCCUGUGCGGCUGGAAUAUUAUUCCUGCAGAUGAGAAGAGUCUCUAACACUGAGCUGAAGAGAGGAGGGUUGAUCAGCGGGGAACGCUGCGGGAAUCGUACCUGGUCCUGCAGAUUUAGACCUGGUCUCCUCUUAUGAAUUGUAUUCUGAAGUAUUUUGAAAAUUUAAAGUGUCUUGUUACAAAUUACGUUCAUUUUUACUUUAAUACUUUACAGUAAUUGAUCUGCGUAGUUUAAAUACAUGCAAAGAGAGAAAAACCUCUCUGCUCACUGUAGUGUCAUUUUGUUUGACUGCACAGAUAAUUAGAAAAGAAAAAGGCAUCAAACUUAAAGGCAACGAGUUGGAAAGUGUUUCAGAGUGUAAGAUAAUUAGAAGAACACUUUAUGUAAGAGCUCAGUUUGACCGUUUCUAAAAGUUCUUCUGUCCGUGUGCGUUUUGUUUCUUUGCUCUGCUGAGUCACUUUCAUGACAUCAGACUUCCUCUGCACACUGAAGCCCUGUUUGUCUGAUUAAAUGAAAGGCCAAACGAUGCUGAGCUCGGCUGAGCAGUUUGUCUGAAAGGCAGCCUGAGGCGCCAUCUAGAGCCGACCGGCGGACACUGCAGCAGCCGGAGACGUCGGCGUGGAGUCUGGCUCUGUGUGUGUGUUAAUGCACAUCAACAUCCUGCAAACAGCCACAAAUACAU